ensembl:lncRNA
UCCUGAAGACCUUGAUUAGCUUGUUCAGGUGUGUUUGAUUAGGGUUAGAGCUAACCUCUGCAGGACAGCGGCACUCCAGGACCGACGUUGCCUAUCCCUGCGCUAGAAUGAGAUGGUCUAGUGAGUGCAGGGGCGCCAUAAUAGGUGGGAAGUCUGGACGAUUCCAAGGGCCCAGUGAGGGAGAGGGUGCCCAGAACAUGAUUUUAACAGAGAGGGACACCUCUAUGCCUACUAAGGAUCCUUCACAUUGAGACAUGCUUUGAUGAAACUUGAUGACAUGACAGCUUAGAUAUGCAGCCUUAUAAGGAAGUGUCCUUUCAUUUUGGAAGCACCCACUGUCUUGUCACCCUUAUGGAACCACUCCUUGUGCUUGUAAACGAUCCUCAAGUGAUUUUAUCUUCACCACUGUCUCCAGAGAUCUCAUAUACUCUCCCUUUAAGUCUCCAGUGAUCUCUUAUACUUACCUCUGAGUCUCCAGCGAUCUCCUUUGAGUCUCCAGCGAUCUUCUAUACUCACUGCGGUCUCCAGAGAUCUCCUAUACUCACCGCUGUCUCCAGAGAUCUCCUAUACUCACUGGUGAAUCUCCAGAGAUCUCCUAUACUCACCGCUGAGUCUCCAGAGAUCUCCUAUACUCACACCGCUGUCUCCAGAGAUCUCCUAUACUCACCGCUGAGUCUCCAGAGAUCUCCUAUACUCACACCGCUGUCUCCAGAGAUCUCCUAUACUCACACCGCUGUCUCCAGAGAUCUCCUAUACUCACACCGCUGUCUCCAGAGAUCUCCUAUACUCACCGCUGAGUCUCCAGAGAUCUCUAUACUCACACCGCUGUCUCCAGAGAUCUUCUAUACUCACCGCUGUGUCUCCAGCGAUCUCCUAUACUCACCGCUGUGUCUCCAGCGAUAUCCUAUACUCACCGCUGAGUUUCCAGCGAUCUCCUAUACUCACCCUGUCUCCAGCGAUCUCCUAUACUCACCGCUGUCUCCAGCGAUCUCCUAUACUCACCGCUGAGUCUCCAGCGAUCUCCUAUACUCACCGCUGUGUCUCCAGCGAUCUCCUAUUCUCACCGUUGUGUCUCCAGCGAUCUCCAGCGAUCUCCUAUACUCACCGCUGAGUCUCCAGCGUUCUCCUAUACUCACCGCUGAGUCUCCAGCGAUCUCCUAUACUCACCGCUGAGUCUCCAGCGAUCUCCUAUACUCACCGCUGAGUCUCCAGCGAUCUCCUAUACUCUCCUUUAAGUCUCCAGAGAUCUCCUAUACUCACCGCUGUCUCAAGCGAUCUUCUAUACUCACUGCUGAGUCUCCAGCGUUCUCCUAUACUCACCGCAGAGUCACAGGAGGAUCACAAUGCUGAAAAAGCAUUUUCAGCAACAACAUUCGGAUUUGAAAUCAAAAUAACAGAUAAAUGUUGUUUGUGUGAAAGCAAAAUGAGUCCGUGCUGCUUCUGCACCACAUACGUAAAGCACAUGGACUGCAUACGCACUGCAAACGGCGUACAGUAUGUAUGAAACAAGCAUCAGGCUGGAGGGAACACACAGCACAAACACACAAGAACACAACAAAACACCACUCAAGACCACAAAACAACACCAAUUUAAACAAAUAAGUAAAGGAAAUAUCUGAGUUUAGACUAACAGUAUCAAAUCCAAGCAGUAACAAGAAUACAAAACUAGAAACAAGACUGAUGAACAACUAAAGAAAACAUUACAAAUAUAAGCAAGACAACUGAAGAACAAAACAAAAAUGAGAAAUCAAGAGCAAAAACUAUAGCAAGGAUACACAAUCACAGCAAAUAAAAGGGCAAGACUGGAAUACAAAGCAGCAAGUCAGUAACUGUCUCUGGCACAAGAUGAACCAGCCAACACAAGAGGAAAA